GGAGGUGGGUAACUUUCUGAACAGUGAAGAGGUGGGUGGUGAUCCAUUUUCGUUUCUUGAGUUAGGAAUUGAUUUUCGUUUCUUGAAGUUUGGUGAUCGAGUUCAAUUUGCCUGAUUGGGUUGACGGGCCACCGACUUCGAAGGCCGAGUUGACUCGGUGGUGUUCAGUCGCCGUCGUUUUGGUGUUGAGGCCUGGGCAUGCGAGUCAGGAACACACCAUCAUCUACUGAAUUGAAGAUCUCAGAACAAAAUCCUCUGUGGAAAUCGAUAGACCCGUCUAAGACGAUUGAAGUCGCAUAAGAGGGGCUUGUUUAGACUUUAGAAGAUUGGGAGGUUCUCAAAGUUUUUGUUGCUGGCACUUUGCUGUGGUUUUUUUUUUUGGGGUCCGAGUGCUUCAUAGAUUAAUUUUAUGCAGAUAGCAGAAGGAAGCAUUUUGUGU